GAUGAACGCUGGCGGCGCGCCUAACACAUGCAAGUCGAACGGCACCCCCCUUCGGGCAGAAGCGAGUGGCGAACGGCUGAGUAACACGUGGAGAACCUGCCCCCUCCCCCGGGAUAGCCGCCCGAAAGGACGGGUAAUACCGGAUACCCCGGGGUGCCGCAUGGCACCCCGGCUAAAGCCCCGACGGGAGGGGAUGGCUCCGCGGCCCAUCAGGUAGACGGCGGGGUGACGGCCCACCGUGCCGACAACGGGUAGCCGGGUUGAGAGACCGACCGGCCAGAUUGGGACUGAGACACGGCCCAGACUCCUACGGGAGGCAGCAGUGGGGAAUCUUGCGCAAUGGGGGGAACCCUGACGCAGCGACGCCGCGUGCGGGACGGAGGCCUUCGGGUCGUAAACCGCUUUCAGCAGGGAAGAGUCAAGACU
rnacentral:rRNA from 1 species